UACGUAGGGGGCAAGCGUUGUCCGGAUUUAUUGGGCGUAAAGCGCUCGCAGGUGGUCCGUUGCGUCGUGCGUGAAAGCCCCCCGGCUCAACUGGGGAGGGUCACGCGAUACUGAUCGACUCGAAGGCAGGAGAGGGUAGUGGAAUUCCCGGUGUAGUGGUGAAAUGCGUAGAUAUCGGGAGGAACACCAGUGGCGAAGGCGACUACCUGGCCUGUUUCUUGACGCUGAGGCGCGAAAGCUAGGGGAGCAAACGGGG
rnacentral:rRNA from 1 species